rnacentral:rRNA from 1 species
UGAUCCUGGCUCAGGAUGAACGCUAGCGGCAGGCCUAACACAUGCAAGUCGAGGGGUAACAGGAAAAAGCUUGCUUUUUUUGCUGACGACCGGCGCACGGGUGCGUAACGCGUAUGCAACCUACCCUGUACUGGAGGAUAGCCCGGAGAAAUCCGGAUUAAUACUCCAUAGUAUCAUUCUAUCACCUGAUAGAUUGAUUAAAGGUUACGGUACAGGAUGGGCAUGCGUCCCAUUAGCUAGAUGGUAAGGUAACGGCUUACCAUGGCUACGAUGGGUAGGGGGCCUGAGAGGGUGAUCCCCCACACUGGUACUGAGACACGGACCAGACUCCUACGGGAGGCAGCAGUGAGGAAUAUUGGACAAUGGAGGCAACUCUGAUCCAGCCAUGCCGCGUGCAGGAAGACUGCCCUAUGGGUUGUAAACUGCUUUUAUUUGGGAAUAAACCUCCUUACGUGUAGGGAGCUGAAUGUACCAAACGAAUAAGGACCGGCUAACUCCGUGCCAGCAGCCGCGGUAAUACGGAGGGUCCAAGCGUUAUCCGGAAUCAUUGGGUUUAAAGGGUCCGCAGGCGGAUUUGUAAGUCAGUGGUGAAAUCCUACAGCUUAACUGUAGAACUGCCAUUGAUACUGCAAGUCUUGAAUUCGGUCGAAGUGGGCGGAAUAUGUCAUGUAGCGGUGAAAUGCUUAGAUAUGACAUAGAACACCGAUAGCGAAGGCAGCUCACUAGGCCUGGAUUGACGCUCAGGGACGAAAGCGUGGGGAGCGAACAGGAUUAGAUACCCUGGUAGU